UUUUGUUACUUUUGAUUUGUUUUGGUUUUGUUUUUGAUUCUCAGGAAAUGAAAAACAGCUGGAGCAACAACAGGGAUGCAACUAAGUGUUCAAAUAAAAAAAUUCAAAUUUUUGAUGAAUCAGUCUAUCGCAAGACGAGAGUAAAAGCUCGAGAGUGCGAUCUAGUGGUUUUGGGACAACAUCAUUCUCAACGACAAUGUCAUACCACUCGAUCGCAACAUGGCAAUGGUGUGAUCAAGUGGUCUCCUAGUGGAAUUGCCCAAACCAGUUAAUCGCAAGGAGAAGUGAAAACGCCCGACAUGACUUCAAUGACAACCCGCCUGAAGACAUGUCAUCCAGCCACCAUGACAUUGCUCUGCCAAGGCAAUUCACCUAAAACAUAAGGACCACACCGUUCUACAAGUUUCCCGUCUCAUGAGCCAAUGGAAAACAAGAGGAGGAAGAGUGCUAAAACUGUACAUUCAUCAAGCAAAGGCCGGAUAAUGUCGGGCUGGAGAACACAUGAGUGUCAUGCUCCACAACCUACUGGGUUGCGAUCGAGCUUAAUGACGAGGAGAUGGCGGAGCCACAUCAAGAACCUGUCAUGCAUGCUGAGUACACUCAAGCAGAUAUGGAUGACUACAUCUCCAGGACAUUAUACUGAGGUAACACACUAAAACCCUUUGUAAAUACCGCUUUUGUUUUUGUCUCUGUGUUUAUCUUGAAUUCUUUCACAAAUUUUGAUUACACAAGGGACUGUGUAAUUUAAGUUUGGGGGAGGGUUCAAGACGUAUUUGACUUGUUUUUUGUGAAUAUCAUUUGAGUCUGCAUAUCAUCUAAGUCAUAGAAAAAAACAAAAAAAAAUUUGAAUUUUUUUGAAAAUGAAUUCCACAAAAACAGAGUGAUCAUUUAGUUGCAUUACAUCUAGAAUCGAGUCUAGAGUGUUUCAUAUAGGAUUGUUGCAUAUGCAUAGGGAAUAAUGAGGAAAUAGCCUUGUAAGCAUGAUGAUUCACUAAAAUGAGUUAUUAGUUAUCUGAGGCAUUUGAAUGACUUUGAAGUAAAACCGCACCAUGUUCUAUAGAAACCACUCGAUGCAUGUCAUGACACCUUCCCUGUCAAUUUGAACUUGAAUCUGACUUAUAAUUAUCAUGUUUGCAUCAUUUUUGAACUCGUGGAUAGAAUACAUAUUUGGAUUUUCUUUCACUUAUUCACCACUCUUGUUAAUCCAAGUAGCUGCUUCUAUUAUUGGAGUAGUUUUCCCACCCUUAACCAACCCUUCUUUCAAGCCAUGUUAUUUUGUGAGAGCAUGUGAGGCCUAUUUUCAGGAUUGAGCUUGGUAGAACGUGUUAGGUUUGAGCCGACAAGAGUAGUAUCUCAUGUAGUUCCAAUCCACGUUUUCAGACUUGGUAGGACUAGGUGGGAACUUAUUUGGGGAUUGAGAUUGAGUGUGAAAAGAAAAAGAAAGAAAAAAAAUGGGUUAGAGUCUUUAGGAGAAGGAAGCUGAAAAUCAUAUUGUGGUCUAGUGAAUGUUUGGGAAGCAUAGAAUUGUUAAGAUAUGCUCUAAAAAAAUAGAUGGCAACAAAAACAGAAAAAGAAAAAAAAUGAUAAGAGCCAUAAGAGUUUAAGAAAAACCCAAUUCACUAGACUAGACUCAUAGAGUUUAAGAAAAGCUUCUCCUUAAGAACAAGAGCUAAAGAAAAGAAAAGGAACAUUGAUCCAAGAAAAAAUCGAAACAUGCCUUUAGUGCAAAAGGGUAGACUUAAGAUCAUUAUUGGGUUUAGAGAUAGGACCAUCUACUUGUUAUUCACGGUUUAUGUCAUUGGGUAGAUAGGGUGCUAUUCUUGUAUGCAUAGGUUGGCACUUACCUUUAGGAUUCUUCUAAAGCUCAGUCCUUUUUCAUUGAGAGUCCCCUGCUAUUAAAUUCUGAACCACUAAAAAGGGAACAUUUUUGUCUCAUAACCUGUCAUUAGCCAAAUGAGUUCACUAGUGAUGCAUAUCUUGAUUCAUGUUUUUGAACUUAAUGAAUGUUAAAGGGAUUGGUUGAUCUUGACGCAUUGUGCAUUUGAGUGUAGGUUUGGAUCAUAACAGAGCAUGGCUAAAGUUUUUAAGUAGAAGUCGAUCACCUCGCAUCUUAGAACUGUUAGCUGGUACAUUGAUCUUAAUUGUCAUAUCUCAUGCUUUGGUUCUGAAUCCCCAACUUCAAACCUCUCCUUCUGCUUAUGUCUUCUUGUUUGCUUGAGGGCAAGCAAAGACUAAGUUUGGGGAAGUUGAUAUGUCUAUAAUUUGCAUGAUUUAGGCAUUCAUUCUUCACCACUUUGUCAUUGUUUCAUCCACAAAUCAUCUCAUUAGGAGUCGUUUUAGGGUGUUUUACAUACUUAGGACGAUUUUGCAUUAGGAUUGUAUGUGCAUGGCAUAUUUGGUUGUUUUCAGGUACUUUGGAUGCUUUUGGAGUUCAAACAGAGGAAAAACAGAACAUGAAGUCAGAAUGCCCAAUGACGUCUUCAGCAAAAAUACUCUAUCGCAGCCUCGGAGCCAUGCCAGGGUAAAUCACUCUAUCACAACCCCGGAGAAGCAAGCAGCUCAGUUUCACUCAAUCGCGAAGCCGGAGGAAUCACCCCAUCAGAACUACUCGAUCACCACUCCACCACCAGGAAGCCUAUCUGCUCUUUCUGCACUCAACCAGACAAGCUAAGAACAAAGAAGAGAAGAGAAGAAGAAACCACUCGAUCACCACAUCAUAACAUCCACUCGAUCGCACUGGAUCACAGGGUCGCUGGACCAUUCAAUCUCGACUUCACUGCAUCUCACUCGAUCGCAAGACGGAGCCCUUGAAGUCCAGUUUGAUCAAUGACAUACUCGAUCACUGGGAAGCUCAUUUCAGCCCGUCAGAUGCCAAUGACAUAUUCGGUCGCGGGAUCAUGACGUGAAGAACGUUUAAGUUCUCGCUUAUAUCACUACAAGAAAACAGGUGAUAAACGACUUACACGGCAGUUGCAUAGUAGUCGUAAAAAAUGAUAAUACGACUAAUCAGCGACUAACGACGUUAGUCAUUAUUACAUAGUCGCUGAAUGAGAUAGUCGUGAAUUAGUCGUUGAUCGACGACUAUAUUACGACAAUAACACAAUCAGUAAACAAUGGUCGUUGUAUAGUCGUAUCGUAUUGGCGACUAUUUAACGACCAUAGCACGAUUAAUUGUCCUGUACGAAGCGUGUGAAACACGUGGUCGUAUAAUAGUCGUAUAAUUGUUUCCGACGAUUGGACGACUAAUUCUAUCAAUGUAAGGAAAUAAUUCUCGUAGUCAUAUAAUAGUCGUAUAAUGUUUUACGACUAUUAUAGGUCUCGUGGACGAUUAUAUUGUGACUAGGUGUCUUAGUCGGAUAAUAAUCGGUAAUUAGUGUGACUAUUAAACGACUAUUUUACGUCUAAUUUGCUACCUAAAUACGACUACUGAGCGACUACUUGUUUUGUCCGAAUAAGAAUUUGGUCAUCGAUUGUUGGGUUUCUUGUUUCUUGUUUGUUGGUUAUCGAUUGUUGUUUUCUUGUUUUCUUGUUUUCUCCUUUUUUAUUUGAAAUGCUAAAAAGAUGAAAAGACUUGUAUAUAUAGAAAAUCAAGUACAAAUAC
rnacentral:sRNA from 1 species